rnacentral:rRNA from 1 species
CCUACGGGGGGCUGCAGUGAGGAAUAUUGGUCAAUGGACGAGAGUUUGAACCAGCCAAGUAGCGUGAAGGAUGACUGCCCUAUGGGUUGUAAACUUCUUUUAUAAAGGAAUAAAGUGAGGCACGUGUGCCUUUUUGUAUGUACUUUAUGAAUAAGGAUCGGCUAACUCCGUGCCAGCAGCCGCGGUAAUACGGAGGAUCCGAGCGUUAUCCGGAUUUAUUGGGUUUAAAGGGAGCGUAGAUGGGUUGUUAAGUCAGUUGUGAAAGUUUGCGGCUCAACCGUAAAAUUGCAAUUGAUACUGGCAGUCUUGAGUACAGUUGAGGUAGGCGGAAUGCGUGGUGUAGCGGUGAAAUGCAUAGAUAUCACGCAGAACUCCGAUUGCGAAGGCAGCAUACCGGCGCCCGACUGACGCUGAGGCACGAAAGCGUGGGGAUCGAACAGGAUUAGAUACCCUUGUAGUC